rnacentral:rRNA from 1 species
GACGAACGCUGGCGGCGUGCUUAACACAUGCAAGUCGAACGGAAAGGCCUGCUUUCCCUUGUGGAUUGCGGGUACUCGAGUGGCGAACGGGUGAGUAACACGUGAGUGAUCUGCCCCCAACUUGGGUAUAAGCCUGGGAAACUGGGUCUAAUUCCCGAUAGGACUGCAGGGUGGUGCCUGUGGUGGAAAACGAUUUUCUAGUGGUUGGGGAUGAGCUCGCGGCCUAUCAGCUUGUUGGUGGGGUAAUGGCCUACCAAGGCGGCGACGGGUAGCCGGCCUGAGAGGGUGGACGGCCACAGUGGGACUGAGAUACGGCCCAGACUCCGACGGGAGGCAGCAGUGGGGAAGAUUGAGCAAGGGGCGGAAGCCUGAUGCAGCGACGCCGCGGGGGGGAUGACGGGCUUCGGGUGGUAAACUCCUUUCGACCGCGAGGAAGCCACCUGGUUGGAAGGGUGGUGACGGUAGUGGUAGAAGAAGCACCGGCUAACUACGUG